GCCCCUCUUCAAAAUGUCGUCUGAUUGAGCUAUUGUCACGGCUACCUGAGCGUCUACCACUACCAGAGACAGUACAACGAGGAAAUUAGCUAGUCUCGAGUAACAGGAGCCUGGAGUUAAAGAGACAUAAUCAUAACCAGGUGCAGGAGGCUAGCCAGCUAUACUAUUUCCAAGUCAGAGAUAUGUACGCGUUUACGUCACUUCAUAUUAAACAUUAGCGUGAUGUUCCAGUUAGACGUGAAAAGCAAGAGAGAAGACUGUCAAUAAUUAUGUUGAACCCACCUCCAAUUGUUUGUUAGUAGGUAAAUUCAUCAGUUUCUCCAUGAGACUUUCAUCAGCUGUUAUUGGGUACCAUAGUCCAUAGAUUCCAUUUCUUCAAACAUGGCAAGGAGGUUACUCAUUGAAGAUCGGUUGCUACCACACACUCCAGCAUCAACCAAACAAUGGUCAUUGAGAGGUGGUAGAUGGGGAGAUGAAUCACCAGAUCUUUGGACAGAUCUUAUACUGACUGGUCAUUUAGAUGGAACUGUUAGAUUCUGGUUCUGUAGAUCAGGUAAUGCAUUAUUAUCAAUUUCAUUUUUAUUCUGAUAGUCUGGGAU